UACCUUCAAAUUGGAUUCUGGAAGUGUGCUUGGAUCAUUACAUUGAACUUAAAAUAAUCAUGGUGUAUAACGACUGGUGAUGGGAUAAAAGGUUUAUUCAAUUUACUGUUAAUGGGACAAAAUGUAGUCUUGGACAACUUGAUUGUGGAUUACAAAUUGAUCUUGGUAUGGCUUUCUUUCUUGGCUCAUUACUGCACAUUUCCGUUAUUAGCAAGGACAGUUUUGGACUCAAUUUCAUGUUUGCUGUUUUCAAAUUGUAAUUUCAUCUCAUUUAAUUACAGUUUUAUAUGUUUCGACAAUUGUUUAAAAA